UACGAAGGGUGCAAACGUUGCUCGGAAUUAUUGGGCGUAAAGCGCACGUAGGCGGCUUUGCAAGUCCCAUGUGAAAGCCCACGGCUCAACCGUGGAAGUGCAUGGGAAACUGCAGAGCUUGAGUACUUAAGAGGAUCGCGGAAUUCCCGGUGUAGUGGUGAAAUGCGUAGAUAUCGGGAGGAACACCAGUGGCGAAGGCGACUACCUGGCCUGUUCUUGACGCUGAGGCGCGAAAGCUAGGGGAGCAAACGGG
rnacentral:rRNA from 1 species